GUAAGAUCACAGCUCCUUGUCGCCGUUCCUCAUUUGUGAAGAUGUCACUAGGGAAUUCAUGGAGAGCUAGAGAAGAAUUGACAACUACCAGCUCUUGCUAAAUCAUGCUCUAAAGAAUCAAAAGCCAAGGACCAAACAGGGGAGAAAAAUAACAACAACUUGAAAAAACAACAGGGUAAUCUUGGAAUGGAAGACUCAAAAUGAAGUGAACAGGAGAGUCUAAGAAAAUAGCAGCUUUGAAGAAAACUUGGCCAACUGCCUUCAGUUGCUACUUUAUGCAUAAUACAACAUCUAUCUCUGUGUCCCAAGUGGAUCGGGAUUCAUAAGCAGGUUUGGAAAGGCUCCAAGCCUUAUUUCUUCUGCUUUCGACAUUUACCCCACAUGAAGAAAGUGAAUUUUAGACUGACGGACAUGUGGUUCUAUCUCAGAGGCUCAUUUUCUGGCCUGGCCUUGCCCAGACCCUUGGUCCAAUGAGGGGGAUCACCACCACUUACACAUUGUCUUCCCAAGAAGGAGAUGGUGCUGAAGGCCCCCGUGCUAUUUAAAUUCUGCUGCCAACUAUAGAGACACAACAUGACUGUGCUGAGUCGCACCCCAGAGAGAGCUACAUUUGGAGAACUUUGGUGAAUAAAUACAAGCAGCCGUAUGAAUAAUGAAAGACCAUCAUCGAAGGGAAGACAAAGCCAUUUGUCUCCUCUGAAGCUGACUAUGACCAAAGAAUCAUAUAUUAAUGGGAUUCACUCAAGGCCCCAAAUGGUUAGUGGUAUUAUGCUGUAAAGAUGUG